rnacentral:rRNA from 1 species
UACGGAGGGUGCAAACGUUGCUCGGAAUCAUUGGGCGUAAAGCGCACGUAGGCGGUCUGUUAAGUCGGAUGUGAAAGCCCCGGGCUCAACCCGGGAAGUGCAUACGAAACUGGCGGACUUGAAUAUGGAAGAGGGUCGCGGAAUUCCCGGUGUAGAGGUGAAAUUCGUAGAUAUCGGGAGGAACACCAGUGGCGAAGGCGGCGACCUGGCCGAAUAUUGACGCUAAUGUGCGAAAGCGUGGGGAGCAAACAGGAUUGAGA